UUGCUCCCUCCUUCCCGGCGUUUCUCAAGAUAGCCACAUUGUCUAAGGUCCCUCAUGCAGCGGUGGGCUGGCUAGCCCUGAGCUACAAAGGAGCUUACCCGACGGUAGUGGGGAAGGCGUCCAAGUGGCACCACUGGCGAAAAAAGUGGGUGGUCAUUCAUACUACUGACGAGGUGAUGUCUCAACGUAUGACGCGUUGGACGAUCCACCCUAACUUUGCCGGGAAGAGCGAUUCCCUUCCUCCCAUUUCUGCCGGCCUCUGGAAGCAGAUAGCUUCCCUUUUCAGGGCCAAGCCGCUUGUAGUGGGUUCGAAGACGGCUUGGGUACCGGAGGGGUGGCUGCCCCAUCUUGACCAAUUUGAAGACACCGCUUUCCUCUCGGCUGUGGGCUUUUGUUCGUAUAUGCCGAGAGACGAAGCUAUGGAGAAGUUGGAAGACGCUUCCAAGGGUAAGGUAGACAUGCCGACUUGGCUAGCUGAGGUGCUCGAGCAAAGCACUCUUAAGGCCAUGCAGAAGUGUGACGCUGAGAAAGGCGGCAAGUCGGACAAUCUUCAGGCGGCCGACAAGAGGAAUCAAAGAAGGCUUCUACUACGGUGGUCCCGUCCGCAAAGCAUAAGGCUGGGGAACAGGUAAGCCACGUUUCAAGCCCACUCGGGAUUCUGGAGUGGAGCCGUCUUCGGCGACAGGACCGUCUCUGAAACGCCAGAGAGUGACUCAGAAGGGCGUUUACUAGGCGCAGGAGCUUUGCUCUCCGGAUCCCCUAGGGGGUUUUCCUGACUCCGUCCGUCACAACAUACUUCCGAAGAUGGCGGAGAGAGAUAGGAACUCGGGUGAUGUUUAUCCAGCUGGAUUCGCUAAAGAAAUGGCGCGUCGCCUUGGUGUUGGAGGAGGCUAGAGCUCGUAACCUUUCCAGCCAAUAUGGUGACCAGCAUUUUGCUUCUUUGGAAGGGCUUCGUCUUACCAAGAGCUUCUUUGGAAGGGCUUCGUCGAUUCUUUGGCCAAAACUUUGGCUAUUCUUCAUGCUGAGAAUAAGAAGCAUCUUCAACAGAUUGACAAGAACUUCCAGGACAUGAAGGACCUUUCUGAGAAGUUCAAGAAGAAGGAGGACGAGUUGUUGCAACUUAAUUCCAAGUUUACUCAAAUGGAAUUACAACUGAGGAGGCUCGUAAGGAAGCGGCUAACUCUAAAGAAGUGGGCAUUCAGUCCGUUACCCUUUUGCCAAUGGGAUGUGUUUUCUGAAGCCAUUUUGUAAAUGACUUGUAAUUACUACUAACUUUUGCUAAUGGGAUGUGUUUAGCCAUGGAAUGGACGUUUUGCCCAUAUGAUUUGUCGUGCAUGUUCAUUUAUUUUUAUUGUGUUGUUAUAAAACUUGAUAUGGUCUUCCCUCUGGGCAAGGACGACAACAUUGUGCCUUAUGCAUUUUUCUAUGGUCUGAA